rnacentral:tRNA from 1 species
GGGGAUUUAGCUCAGUGGUAGAGCGCUUGCCUAAUAAACGCAAGGCUCUGGGUUCGGUCCCCAGCUCCA